ACGGAAUAGAUACCCUGGUAGUCCUGGCAGUAAACGGUGCGCGUUUGGUGUGGGAGGAUUCGACCCCUCUGUGCCGGAGCUAAACGCGUUAAACGACGCCGCCUGGGGAGGUACGGUCGCAAGAUUAAAACUACAAAGAAAAUUGACGGGGGCCCGGCACAAGCGGUGGAGUAUGUGGCUUAAUUCGAUGCAACGCGAAGAACCUUACCUAGCCUUGACAUGCAUCUCUAAGUCGGUGAAAGCCGGCGAGUGUAGCAAUACACAAUUUGCACAGGUGCUGCAUGGCUGUCGUCAGCUCGUGUCGUGAGAUGUUGGGUUAAAGUUCCCGCAACGAGCGCAACCCCUGUGAACUGUUGCCACC
rnacentral:rRNA from 1 species